UUGCUAGGCUGAAAAGACAGUACCAGAAAACCUUCUAGAAAAAUCAGAAUCACAGUGAAACAAAACUGAUAGUGUAUGGCAGAAACUUGGACAGAAUAGAUAUCUCAAUUCCGACAACUGAUGAGGCUGAAACUUGGACUGAAUGGAGGUCCUAAUGGAUAGACUAGGUGCUAAAUAUAUCAAGGCCAACCAAUGGUUGGAUUAAAAGAAACAAACACCAACAAAUUCCUGGUCGAUUUCAGUGAAGAGGGAGGAGAAGAUUAUAUCAGAAAUUGAAGCGUAUCCAAUGGCUAGAUUAAGAGAAACAUUAAGAAAAAGUUACUGAUAUAAUAGGGCAAACCAGAAAUCAUAGUAAAAGGGAAAACAGAGAAUAAAACCUGGAGAAAUAAUGGUUAACAGAAUGGUAUGUUAUGAAAAAUAAAGAGAACAUAAGAAG